GACUCUGUAGUGAAGUUCAUGUUGAGUUGCAAACUCAUUGAUGUGCAUUGGAAUGCACCGGGGUCU
rnacentral:tRNA from 1 species